GGGAAUUUAAGUUAAUAUCCUAAACUUAAGACCUUCAAAGUUCUAAAUGAAAGCG
rnacentral:tRNA from 1 species